UACGAACCGAGCGAACGUUGUUCGGAAUCACUGGGCUUAAAGGGUGCGUAGGUGGGAAUGUAAGUCAGUGGUGAAAUCUCCGUGCUUAACACGGAAACUGCCAUUGAUACUAUGUUUCUUGAAUUUUCUGGAGGUUAGCGGAAUAUGUCAUGUAGCGGUGAAAUGCGUAGAUAUGACAUAGAACACCGAUUGCGAAGGCAGCUAACUAGAGGGAUAUUGACACUGAGGCACGAAAGCGUGGGGAGCAAACAGG
rnacentral:rRNA from 1 species